AGACAAAAAUAAUGGUGGUUUCAUGCAUCAAGAUUCAAAACCGUGUGCCACGCGUGAUAUUCUUUCACAUUCUCAGAGGUGGAGUAUCAGAUGAUCACACAUUUUUUGACCAUGGACAAAAAUAAUGGUGGUUUCAUUUAAAAGCAUCUAAAUAAUUCAAAACACAGACAACUUUUACAAUUACAACUUGUACAAUUUCAGAACAUGGACAAAAAUAAUGGUGGAGUAUCAGACCAUGGACAACUUUUACAAUUUCAGACCAUUCAAAAUCGUGUGCCACUGUGUUAUUCUUUCACAUUCUCAGAGGUGGAGUAUCAGAUCAUCACACAUUUUUUGACCCUUCGAAAAUUAAAACCUCUAUUACACCUUUUCGUUUCUUCUUCCUCCCUUACCCCUUUCGAAAUCAUUCCAAAUCUAUUCCAGAGGUUCAACACAAAGGAUUCCAUAUUUAAGGUAAGUUUACGAACUUAUAUUUAUAUUAUUGUAAUUUAUACUUGCA
rnacentral:lncRNA from 1 species